rnacentral:rRNA from 1 species
AGGCGGUGGAUGAUGUGGAUUAAUUCGAUGCAACGCGAAAACCUUACCUACCCUUGACAUGUCUGGAACCUUGGUGAGAGCCGAGGGUGCCUUCGGGAGCCAGAACACAGGUGCUGCAUGGCUGUCGUCAGCUCGUGUCGUGAGAUGUUGGGUUAAGUCCCGCAACGAGCGCAACCCUUGUCACUAGUUGCCAUCAUUGGUUGGGCACUCUAGUGAGACUGCCGGUGACAAACCGGAGGAAGGUGGGGAUGACGUCAAGUCCUCAUGGCCCUUAUGGGUAGGGCUUCACACGGUAAUACAAUGGUCGGUACAGAGGGUUGCCAACCCGCGAGGGGGAGCCAAUCCCAGAAAAACCGAUCGUAGUCCGGAUUGUAGUCUGCAACUCGACUGCAUGAAGUCGGAAUCGCUAGUAAUCGCGGAUCAGCAUGUCGCGGUGAAUACGUUCCCGGGCCUU